ACUCCUACGGGAGGCAGCAGCAAGGAAUUUUCCGCAAUGGGCGCAAGCCUGACGGAGCAACGCCGCGUGCGGGAUGACGCCUUUCGGGGUGUAAACCGCUGUUCGUGGGGACGAAGCACUGACGGUACCCACGGAGGAAGGCCCGGCUAACUACGUGCCAGCAGCCGCGGUAAUACGUAGGGGCCGAGCGUUGUCCGGAGUUACUGGGCGUAAAGCGUGCGCAGGCGGCGUAUCGCGCCCGGCGUGAAAGCCCCCGGCUCAACCGGGGAGGGUCGUCGGGGACGGGUACGCUUGAGGGCAGCAGGGGCUGGUGGAAUUCCCGGUGUAGUGGUGAAAUGCGUAGAGAUCGGGAGGAACACCUGUGGCGAAGGCGGCCAGCUGGGCUGCACCUGACGCUGAGGCACGAAGGCGUGGGGAGCGAACGGGAUUAGAUACCCCGGUAGUCCACGCAGUAAACGAUGCAGACUAGGCGUGGGGGGACUUGACCCCCUCCGUGCCGGAGCUAACGCGGGAAGUCUGCCGCCUGGGGAGUACGGCCGCAAGGCUAAAACUCAAAGGAAUUGACGGGGGCCCGCACAAGCGGCGGAGCGUGUUGUUUAAUUCGUCGCAACGCGAAGAACCUUACCAGGGCUUGACAUGG
rnacentral:rRNA from 1 species